CUGUGCGUAUGACACCUCAGACAUGAGGGCUGCAGGGUAAGGAGUAUGUCUGUUUCUCUUUAGUUUCACGAGGUCCCCUUUUGGGGUAUUCGGCUUUCCAUCGAUGGCAGGUGGUCAGGCAUUAUUAUGGCCAUCAAAACACCCACUUGUUGAUAUUUAUUUAUUUAUUUUCAACAAGUAUCUUUGUUCUCUAAGAAUGGAGUUUCAAAAAAGGUUGUCAAGAUCAACAAAUGCUUUUUCACAUGAUGCAGAGGCAGGCUUGAUUCUGGAAUGAUGAAUCCACGGGGUGAUCUCUGUAACUUUCACGGUGCACUACUCAGCAUGUGGUCUUGGUUAUCACUUUGGUGGCUGGAUAGGCC